rnacentral:rRNA from 1 species
GAGUUUGAUCAUGGCUCAGAUUGAACGCUGGCGGCAGGCCUAACACAUGCAAGUCGAACGGUAGCACAGAGAGCUUGCUCUCGGGUGACGAGUGGCGGACGGGUGAGUAAUGUCUGGGAAACUGCCUGAUGGAGGGGGAUAACUACUGGAAACGGUAGCUAAUACCGCAUAACGUCGCAAGACCAAAGAGGGGGACCUUCGGGCCUCUUGCCAUCAGAUGUGCCCAGAUGGGAUUAGCUAGUAGGUGGGGUAAUGGCUCACCUAGGCGACGAUCCCUAGCUGGUCUGAGAGGAUGACCAGCCACACUGGAACUGAGACACGGUCCAGACUCCUACGGGAGGCAGCAGUGGGGAACAUUGCACAAUGGGCGCAAGCCUGAUGCAGCCAUGCCGCGUGUGUGAAAAAAGGCUUCCGGGUGUAAAGCACUUUCACCGAGGAGGAAGGUGGUGACCUUAAUACGCUCAUCAAUUGACGUUACUCCCAGAAGAAGCACCGGCUAACUCCGUGCCAGCAGCCGCGGUAAUACGGAGGGUGCAAGCGUUAAUCGGAAUUACUGGGCGUAAAGCGCACGCAGGCGGUUUGUUAAGUCAGAUGUGAAAUCCCCGGGCUCAACCUGGGAACUGCAUUUUGAAACUGGCAAGCUAGAAUCUCCUAGAAGGGGGGAAGAAUUCCAAGUGUAACGGUGAAAUGCGUAAAAAUCUGGAAGAAUACCGGUGGCAAAGGCGGCCCCCUGGACGAAGAAUGACGCUCAGG